AGUGAACGCUGGCGGCGUGCUUAACACAUGCAAGUCGAACGAGAACGGAUUAUAGCUUGCUAUAAUUGUCAGCUAAGUGGCGCACGGGUGAGUAAUGUAUAGGUAAUAUGCCUCUUACUAAGGGAUAACAAAUGGAAACGUUUGCUAAUACCUUAUACUCCUUAUUAACAUAAGUUAAUAAGGGAAAGAUUUAUUGGUAAGAGAUUAGCCUGUAUUGUAUCAGUUAGUUGGUGGGGUAAUGGCUUACCAAGACUAUGACACAUAACUGGUUUGAGAGGAUGAUCAGUCACACUGGAACUGAGACACGGUCCAGACUCCUACGGGAGGCAGCAGUGGGGAAUAUUGCACAAUGGACGAAGGUCUGAUGCAGCAACGCCGCGUGGAGGAUGACACAUUUCGGUGCGUAAACUCCUUUUAUGUGAGAAGAUAAUGACGGUAUUAUAUGAAUAAGCACCGGCUAACUCCGUGCCAGCAGCCGCCGUAA
rnacentral:rRNA from 1 species